rnacentral:lncRNA from 1 species
CCCCCAACCCCCUGCGCAUCCAACUUUCCCUUAAUACCUUGUUCGAGCUGAAUAACUCACGCGCUUACGCAAUCUGUUUGGAAUCGAUGGCCCAUGUCUAUUUUCAUCCUGUACCACCUCUUGGAAUUAGUCCCCUAAGUUUUCUCCCCAUGCGACAUGCAGACCAGCAAUGCCUCGUGUUACCGACAUUGGGGAAAAAUAAGGCGUUCCACGUAAUUGAUUUUCGCAGUUAGCAGACGCUUACUCCUUUAAGCACAGGAACAUUUUAGGUCAGUGUUUACCCCUCCCCCCCCAAAAUCCCCCCCCCCAAAAUCAUGAUUUUUUCCCCCCACCUAAGUCAGCAGAAUCGAGACUGGCCCGUGCUUCCGAGGUGUGGUUGAGUGGGUGACCAGCAACCCAUUCCAGCCGGUCAUUCUCAAGCCGUCUUUCCGAACAUCAGCUCCUGGGCGAUUCGCUCGGCCUUCCUGCCUCCGUUUCCUUCCCCGUAAUCAGGGCACCGCCGGAUGGACGCUCUCUAAGGGCUGCUCUCAGGCUUUCCUAACUCUGCUGGGCCCUCGGGAAGGUGGGUGACCUGCCCUGGUCCCCCGGCGGUGGCCAUGGCGGCUUCUCCUUUCCCCUGUCCCUGCUCAGGGUGUCAGGGGUCCCCAGCCACCCACUCCCCAAGGAUCCUGAUCCAUGGUUCUCUGUGACCCUUGGGAGAACAGAAAAUGCCUGACCUCAUCUUAGAACCCCGGCCUCCCCGUGGACUGAAAUCCCCAGAGAGCACAGCGGCGACUCUUAAAGGCCCGGGAGACUACUGAGUUACUGCUGGACUGGGUUCUGAAUUGCAAAGGAUGCUGCGACCCCAACCUCCAGGAAAAGGGGGUUUACGCUACCUGAAUGCAAACAGCAAGCUCUUGGCGGGAGUAUGUUGGAGGCGCUGAACUCAGCACUUGGAGGCAGAGAGCAAGGAGAUGUGGUCACCCAGACCCUCGGAAGAAGGAGCCUUUCAAAACCAGAGCACCCUCUUUUCGUUCCUUUCCUUUACGCCAAGGUCACCACGCUUUGCGGGGUUGCAGGAGACCCUCUGAAUCCUAGCAUUUCUAGGAUCUGGUGGUAUGUGAGUUUCCUAUGGCCGCUGUACCAGAAGGCUUCACCCUGGUGGCUUAAAGCAACAGAACUCAUGGGUCUGGAGGCUAGAAGUUCAAAAUCAGUAUCGCUGGAUUAAAAUCAGGGGCUGUGGGAGUUCUCUGGUGGCUCAGCAGGUUAAGCGUCUGCUGUUGUCCCUGCUGUGGCUCUGGCUACAUCUGCGCCACGGGUUCGAUCCCUGGCCUGGGAACUUCUGCAUGCUAUGGGCACCAGGGAAAAAAAAAAAAAAAAA